GCUGAGUGUGGUGGUGCAUGCCUGUAGUCCCAGCUACUCAGGAGGCUGAGGCAGGAGGAUCACUCGAGCCCAGAAGGUCAAGGCUGCAGUGAGCUAUAACUGCACCACUGCACUCUAGCCUUGGUAACAGAGUGAGAUCCUGCCUCAA
rnacentral:sRNA from 1 species